rnacentral:rRNA from 1 species
CAGCAGCCGCGGUAAUACAGAGGGUGCGAGCGUUAAUCGGAUUUACUGGGCGUAAAGCGUGCGUAGGCGGCUUCUUAAGUCGGAUGUGAAAUCCCUGAGCUUAACUUAGGAAUUGCAUUCGAUACUGGGAAGCUAGAGUAUGGGAGAGGAUGGUAGAAUUCCAGGUGUAGCGGUGAAAUGCGUAGAGAUCUGGAGGAAUACCGAUGGCGAAGGCAGCCAUCUGGCCUAAUACUGACGCUGAGGUACGAAAGCAUGGGGAGCAAACAGGAUUAGAGACCCCGGUAGUCCCUGUCUCUUAUAC